UACGGAGGGUGCAAGCGUUAUCCGGAUUUACUGGGUUUAAAGGGUGCGUAGGUGGGCCUGUAAGUCAGUGGUGAAAUCUUCAAGCUUAACUUGGAAACUGCCAUUGAUACUAUAGGUCUUGAAUUAUCUGGAGGUAAGCGGAAUAUGUCAUGUAGCGGUGAAAUGCUUAGAGAUGACAUAGAACACCCAUUGCGAAGGCAGCUUACUACGGAUUGAUUGACACUGAGGCACGAAAGCGUGGGGGGAUCAAACAGG
rnacentral:rRNA from 1 species